rnacentral:rRNA from 1 species
CCAAUAGCGUAUAUUAAAGUUGUUGCAGUUAAAAAGCUCGUAGUUGAAUUUCGGGGUUAGUAGGUUGGUCAUGCCUCUGGUAUGUACUGGUCUCACUGAUUCCUCCUUCCUGAUGAACCUUAAUGCCAUUAAUUUGGUGUUUUGGGGAAUUUGGACUGUUACUUUGAAAAAAUUAGAGUGUUUAAAGCAAGCUAACGCUUGAAUACAUUAGCAUGGAAUCAUGAAAUAGGACGUUCGAUCCUAUUUUGUUGGUUUCUAGGAUUGAAGUAAUGAUUAAUAGGGAUAGUUGGGGGCAUUAGUAUUCAAUUGUCAGAGGUGAAAUUCUUGGAUUUAUUGAAGACUAACUACUGCGAAAGCAUUUGCCAAGGAUGUUUUCAUUAAUCAAGAACGAAAGUUAGGGGAUCGAAGACGAUCAGAUACCGUCGUAGUCUUAACCAUAAACUAUGCCGACUAGGGAUCGGAUGAUGUUAAUUUUUUAAUGACUCAUUCGGCGCCUUACG